rnacentral:lncRNA from 1 species
GAUUUUCUCCCUUCUCAUGUGUUUAUUCUUCUUGACCAUAAUUAUCACAACUUUGCAAUUCUUUCUUGUCAGCUUCAGUGCUAUUUUGCUGCCUUUUACAAGGACCAUAACUUUCAAAUAAUUGUAAUAUUUAGCUUUUCUUAACACUGCAUCUUUUGACAUAACUAUUAAAUUACUUGCAAAAGAAUAUCAUUUGAAUUCAGACAGCUUCUCACAAAAGCUAGAUGCUAGACUCCAAAAUGAUUUAAUGACUGGGAAAAUGUCUUAAAUGCUGUUUAAGCAUCCAUAAAUUAAUCAUUUAAUCAUUAUCCUCAGCACAAAAUCAUUAUUUUCUUUUAUAGACUUAUCAGCCAGGGUUACCUAAUCAAUUUCAGUUUCUAGUUUAAUGCCAGAUUCUCAUUUUGAAAAAAUUAUUAUUUUUUUCCUAUAUUCAUUGAAUAUAAUUUUGAAUCUGGACAGUUCAAACAUCACAUUGAUGUCACAAAUUUAAAUCAAUCAGAAAAUGACAGAACAAAUUAUAAAUUUAAAAUAAACAAUUUAAGAAAAAAAAUGCCUUUCUCCCAAAACACUCCUUAGAGGAGAUUGAAACUAAAGUUAAAAUCUACUGAAUGAAGUUUUAUAUAAAACCCACAUAUGGUAUGACAAUUUUCUUCAAUUGAAUGUUGAAUAAAUAUUCAGACAGUAAAACCCAUCCAUAUAGCUCACUUUCUAUAAUGUUGGUACUUGAUAAAUAUCCAGUGUAGUGGCAUUAAAUCUAAGAUUUUUUAAGAGGUACUCGAAGUUAAUGAUUUUUUUGUGUAAAAUUGAGACUUGGUCUGAAAUGUCAGAUACAGAGAAAAUCUCCUUAUUUUGAUUUUUUGGGGGGCAGGUGGGUAAAUCUGCAAGGAGUUUACAGGAUGUAUACUCUGAGAACUUGAGAAAAAAAGCAGCAGCCAAAAGUCAACAGAAUGUCCGCUCUGAAUACAAAUGUUUGUUUUACAUGAGAGUUAUGCCUUGAACAAGUGGAUGAAAAUUAUUCUUUCUUGGUAUUUAAGGUAUUCAUAUUAAAACACACACACACACACACACACACACACACUUUGAGGCCCUAACAGUCCAGCAUGUCAAAGUCAACUAGAGCAAAUAUUUAUUAAUCACAUCAUUUAAAAAAUAAACAGUCAUUUCCUACAUCUGGUUUAUCAGAGAAAUAUCUUUUGAAGAAGUUAAGAUUAUGCAAGUUUGAAAAUGUUCUCCCAAAGGAAUACAACUCUUAAUAAUUGUUCAAUGCACAUUCAAUAUGUUAAUGGAAGAUUCACAAAGAUGUUGCAUAUGAAGCCUGAAAUCAUACACUGCUUCAUGCCAGUAUUUAUCUGAUGUGGGUGCAGUUCACAUUCACAAUACACUGUGGUAUCUAGAUGUUGCAGUGGAAAACUAACACACACUAGUAUUACCAGAAGCUGGGUGUGUACUGAAGGACAACUUAAUAUCCACUAUCUUUGGCAAGUCUCUUUAGCACUUUCAUUAGCUCAACCUUAGGUGACGGAGUAAAUAGAGAAAAAUAUAAAGGAUUCACUGAGAAAAAGUGGCAUUUAUAUGUACAGUGUUUUUUUUCAUGGAAUUAAAAAAUGUUCUGUACAUGCAUUCAACAUGGAUGAGAACAUCCAGAGUGUUUAGAAGGGGUCUUAGGGAAUAACGCAAAUACCUUUAUAUCAUCUGGGCUGCUUCUGAAUGUUUCUCUCAAUUUUAUCAAUCAAAAAUAACUAUGAACUCAGUGGCAUGCAUUUUCUUUUUCUUAUUCUCAAGAGACAACUGCUUCAUUUACCUGACAUAUCCAACAGUUCAAAUUAUUUUGGCUAAGAUUUGAUGAACAACAGCAUUUUCUGGUCAACCAGAUCAUUCCAUGGCCAACACACUUAAAAUAACAUUAUACAAAUUAAGCCUUACUGGAUUCAGUCAAACACGCCCUAUUGCAUGGCAAGUUCUACUGGCAAAGAUGUCAGUCCUCACCACCGAAGUCCACCUGAGGAACUUAGGAGGCCACAAGCUUAUGUCUUGGACUGAGAGUUGUGGCCAAGAAAUAAAGGGAAAGUUACAUUUAAUGCUUCCACCCACCCAGGUACCUACUGUUGACAAAAACAAGUUAUAAGUUACUCAUAGGCUUUGCGUGAUUCCUGCCAUCUAAUAGGAUGAGUUAUCAAUUCAGCCAUAGUCUAUCUUUGGUUUUUAUUUUACCAGAAAUGGAUUCCUCUAUGUUGGCUUAUUUAAAAUUAAAUAUGUGAGGAGAAAUUUUAGGAAAAGUAGUAGUUCAAGCAGAACCAUUUUCCUGACUCCCCAGUAAUUACUCCCUACUAUUCCAGUUCCUCAUAUGAAGUAGAGAUAUAUUUUCAUAUCUAUGGUGGUUGUACAAUAGUUCAUAGUUAUUUUAAUAUUGAUAAGUGGAAUUAUCAAAGAAAACAUUAUUUCAUGCAUUUUUAUAACAAUAAUAGAAAUAAUAAGAAAAUCCUAUUUCGAUCUGUAAAGAAAAUUGAACUGUGGUGCCAAACAAACAAAUAAGCAAAUAAAAAUUCCCUGAUAACAUGCUAAAUUAACAAACAAAAACAUGAAGUAAAAAAUGCCAAAAAUGUCGAUUUGAGCUGUAAUAACUGUGCUUAGGAAAUUCUCUCCCAGGCCUCAGGCUGCUUAGCCCUCAGCUAUGGAGAGAACUGACAGAGCUUGGCCUAAGGUAUAGGAUUCGGUUGGACAUCACACUUACCUGCUUGAUUUGUGGUUACAUUAACAGACACAUACUGCCGGGCUCCUGGGCUCAAGUCGGACACUCCAUUCACUGCCUCAAUCUCAAAGGUAUAGUUUGUGUGAGCGAGCAGAUCCACCAUCAUGACAGAGGUGUUUUUCAGGCCGAUUUGCUGGGGGAGGUACCUGACAUGACCGCCACACUCGUCACACACACCUGCAUGGGAGCUGCACUUCUUGCAUGCAAUAUAAUAUGACACAUCUUUCCUUCCACCAGUGUCAGCAGGAGGAAUCCAUUCCAGAAAGACACUAGUUUCAUUAACAUUUGAGAUGGCAUUCCGAGGAGCUGAGGGGGGUCCUGGUUUGCAAAGUAAAGUGAAAAAAACAAAUUUUGAGAUGAUAAAAUUAGGCAUUGUUUACUACACACAUCUCUGGUCUGAAGGGAAAGAAAAUAGAUUUUCAAUCAAUCUCUGAAGCAGGGAGAAUGCAAGAGUCAUCAAUUUGUAAUAAUCUUUGAAGAAUUUUAUUAUAAUUUUGUAGGGACAAUAAUGGGGUUUAUAGCUUCAAGAAAUGACUUAUCUCGGAAAUAUUACAAGUUCAAUUAAAGAAGAUGUAAGGCUUAUUGUCUAAGAAUUAUGGAGUAAUACUACAUAUGCAAAAAAUAAAGUAGAUAAAAUUAUGCAUUUAAACAGUGGCAAGUUCUUUGGUAAGCCAAGGAAAAAUUCUCCUUGGGGACUGAACUGAUUACUUCUGCAAUGAUAUUUAUCCCUGAAACCUAAGAAGUAAACUUAAGGGAUUUACUAAUAAGCAAGGAGCACAAGCAGAAAUAGGAUUUUUCAGUGUGGCUCUUGACUAAAAUUCUGCAGAAAGUGAAAACAUAGCUUUAGCUUAUCUCAAAACAAAUUGCAUACCUACUGAUUAAACCACCAACAGAAUUUGGAACCUUUCUCAUAUGUCAAGAAAGAAUUAAAAUUUAAGUAGUUGACCAACAUUACAAUCUGUGAUAAAAUUUUGCUUACAUGGAUAGUGUUUGAAUAUUGUGGCUCUGCAAAACUGAAUUUUACUUGAUUGGAAAUCUGAAACUUAUUUUUAAAAUAAUUCUCCAAAACACAGUUCAGACCUUAAAAAUCAGCAGAAUAAAUUGAUAUUAGAAAUAAAGUAAUGUUUGUUAUUUCUGCAAGUAAUAGUGGACUAAAGACAACUAAAACUGGUUACAUAUCAAUUGAAACAAAUGUAUUCCUCUGGUGCUGGAUGUUGAUAAUGGGCAUGGCUAUGAAUGUAUGUAGGAAGGGAAUAGACACCAAAUAUCUAUACUUUCCUCUGAACUUUGUUGUGAAACUAAAACUGCUCUAGAAAAAUUAUGUCUCUAAAAUAUUUAACUGCAUACUGUCUGACUCCAUAGUAGAUUCUGACAUUUUAGAGUUACAUCUUCAUUCAGCUGCUAAUAUUAUGUGAUCAGAUGUUCUCAAAGAGAAAAAUCCAUUUAUAAUUGUUUCUGAAUUAGUAAAGAUUUCCUGACACAGAAUAAAAUGGACUCUGAUGGUAGCUGAAUGGUUCAUAAGCAUAAAUUAAGCUACUAAGGAUGACACAGCUUAGUUAUCUUAACACACACUGUCUGAUCUAAAUAUAGAAAUUAGCAAUUCUACCUAACAUUUAUUAAGCCAUGGCCACGGAGGACUAAAUUUAAAAAUAAUAAGAAAGCUACCUACUAUUUAUAAAAUGUCACUUAAAGAACCCCAUAACUUAAGAGUUGUCAAUUUUGACAAAACAAUCCCAACCUUGGCUAUAUUUGGGUUGAAACUUGUGAAUUUUUCCAUACAACCUCCCUCACUUCAACAUAAAACUUUUAAGUUGAAACAAAUAUUUAAGAUGGAAAUACAAGUAUUUUUCACUAUUAGCUUUUUUAAUAGUGGAAUGUUAUGGAGAAAAAAUGUAAUCUGAGGUCAAAAUGUUAAAGGUUUACUUCUGAUAAAAAGGUAAAAUAUACUUGAUUUUUUUUUUCACCUGUAGCAUAUGGAAGUUCCCAGGCUAGGGGCUGAAUCAGAGCUGCAGCUGCUGGCCUACACCACAGCCACAGCAAUGCCAGGUCCGAGCUGCGUCUGCGAGCCACACCACAGCUCAAGACAAUGCUGGAUCCUUAACCCACUGAGCAAGGCCAAGGAUCAGAUUCACAUCCUCAUGGAUAUCAGUCAGAUUCUUGACCUACUGAGCCCCAACAGGGACUCUUAAAAUGUACUUGAAAUAUGUUUACUUUGAAAGAUAUCAAACUUCUGGAUGUUUUUGUCUCUGCCAAUUGAAAUGUACCCACAGUUAACAACUUUCCUCUACAGCUGUUAACUUGCACCAGAGUCUGACUCUUCCUUUUCUUCUGACUUUGCUGCUAGUAGCCCCUCAGCAUGUUGGUGGGGGCACAAAUGCCUCUCCAAGUCAAAAUGAAAUUCAUAUUCAAGCGAAGCUGUAAGGAGAGGUAACCAGUGGAGACUAAGACUGACACGCAUCUAAAAAUAAUGUAAU